UACAGAGGCCACAAGCGUUAGUCGGAAUCACUGGGCUUAAAGGGUGCGUAGGCGGGUCUGCAAGCGUCUUGUGAAAUACCCCGGCUCAACCGGGGAACAGCAGGGCGAACUGCGGAUCUUGAGGCAUGUAGGGGCUGCGAGAACAGUAGGUGGAGCGGUGAAAUGCGUAGAUAUCUACUGGAAUGCCGAUGGUGAAGACGCGCAGCUGGGCAUGUCCUGACGCUGAGGCACGAAAGCGUGGGGAGCAAACAGG
rnacentral:rRNA from 1 species